GGGGGCGUAAAGGUUUCGACGGGGAUCAAUAGCCAUGAUAAGCGAGUAGAGCGGGCGAAAGCUCUUUAAUCGUCGCAAUUUAAAUAUAAACGCUAACAAUAAUAAAUUAGCUUACGCUGCUUAAGCCAGCGUCAUCCUGUUAUGAAGUACCACGGUCAUAAUUAGGGUGUCAAAUUAGUGGUGAACGUAUCGGAUAACUUGUCUCAGUUUUCGAUAUGUAUUUGAGACUACUGAAUCGGACAGCCUGCUUGUCGGCGGUUCGAAGAGGGAAUGUUAAAAGAUAAGCUACACUCGUAGAAAGUUGUGGGGAAGGGUUUUCGGACAGGAGUUCGAAUCUCCUCGCCUCCACCA
rnacentral:tmRNA from 1 species